rnacentral:tRNA from 7 species
GCGCCUGUAGCUCAAUUGGAUAGAGCACCAGACUUCGGAUCUGGGGGUUGGGGGUUCGAGUCCCUCCGGGCGCGCCA